CCUACGGGGGGCUGCAGUAGGGAAUCUUUCACAAUGGGCGAAAGCCUGAUGGAGCAACGCCGCGUGCAGGAUGAAGGCCUUCGGGUUGUAAACUGCUUUUAUAAGCGAGAAAUAUGAUGGUAACUUAUGAAUAAGGAUCGGCUAACUACGUGCCAGCAGCGGCAGUCAUACGUAGGAUGCGAGCAUGAUACGGAGUGACUGGGUGUAAAGAGUUGCGUAGGUGGCAUAAUAAGUAGCUGGUGAAAUCUGGUGGCUUAACCAUUAAGAUUAUUAGCUAAACUGUUAAGCUCGAGACCGUUAGGGGUAACUGGAAUGUCUAGUGUAGGAGUGAAAUCCGUAGAUAUUAGAAAGAACACCAAUAGCGUAGGCAGGUUACUGGGACGGUUCUGACACUAAGGCACGAAAGCGUAGGGAGCAAACGGGAUUAGAUACCCUAGUAGUC
rnacentral:rRNA from 1 species